AGAUAUGAACGAAAGAAUUGAACCAUGAUAAAACGCGACAUGCACUACAAAUUGAAGGUAUGAAAUUAAGUUAAAUGAAAGCUCGUUUAUUCACCAUAUGAUGCUCGUUAUGAGGUAAUCAUAUAGGCUAGAUACCGUGAGUUAACGAGGUCGUUUACAUGCACGUGAGUGCACGGAUAUCGGUUAAUUAUUCAAAUUACUGAAAAACACGGAGAAAACCGCAACCGCAUCGUCAUGUGUUUUUCUAAGAUGUAUGCAAACAGGGGAAAUAUCGCCAAACCAACAAUUAAUUUGACCAAAACCUCACAAUAUAUCAUCAUUUGUAUGCACAGAUUGGAUGCAUUGUGUGUUGUAAGCUUUUCAUGGCGCUAGAUGUCAGACAGAUGCAAAUGGCAAGUACAUACGGAAGUGUAAAACGUGUAAGGCUAACGUGAACGUUUGUUUUUUUUUCUGUCAUUAUAGAUGCUAGUUUGGUGAAAGUUCACACUGAGUGCUUCAAAUCAUUCAGAAGAGAUGCUGUUUUUAGGGCAGUUUAUUAAAGGAGACCUGACAUGGAUGACUUCCAAUGAGAAACGACUGCUAAUACAUUCAUUACAGAAGGACCCUACCAAACUAUAUUUGAAUACGGCAUACCCAUGAAUUCUGGAACUGUUAUUCCUUAACCCAGUUUGGAGGAUAAGACCUUACCAACUAGUUAUAAAUAUGCUGAGGUGAUGUAUUGCAAAAUAGCCAACAUACAACAAUAUGGAUGACCCUCUGUCUGGUCAACAGGAGUUUAAAUAUGGACGGGAUAGUGAUGUGGCAGCUCUUCCCUGGCUAAUUCACCUCUUGCCUUCAUUUGUGAAAGGAAGAAAGACUGGAGAGGGUCGAUGUGCAACUGAAGCUACUGAUUGUGCUGUGUGAUGAGCAUCAAUCCAUGCUUUGAGGGGGAUGAAUCAGCACAGCCCUGCCUGCACUGCGUUGGGAACAGAAGUUGCAUCCAGAAUUUUUGCAUCAUUCUGGACCAAAACGCCAUUCCCUCCAUGAUGAAGACCACUGAUGCAGCCUUCCACUACAUCAUGAGUAAAACAACUACAGAACUAAAUACCAGGUUGGAACGUAUUUAAGAAAAAUGAAACGUCUUUUGAAUUGAAAUGUCUGUUUUGUUAUGGAAAAAUCUUUAGUAUUGUGAAGGAUAAGCAUUUCUGCCUGCCAGUAAGGUAAUUGCAGUGUAUUUUAAUGUUCAAGUUUUGAGUAGGGUGGCUAAUUUUUUUUUAAACUCUCAUUUGAUAUAUUAAAGACCUUAUAAUAAGUGGUUUUCAUGUCACUGUGCUGUGGUAUAAGAUAACUUUCAUUAUUCCAUACUGUAUUCUGUAUUCUAAUUGUAGCUGAGGUAUUUAAAUAAGCAGUGUUAAAUGCAAAGUGUUGUGUGUAUCAAUGUAAAUAUUAAAUGUGAUGUACUUUAAUAAAAAGAGGUUUUGCAAUAUUUCUUGUCAUUUGUCUUUUAUAGAAACAACCCAUUAGCAACAAAAGUGGCUAUUAAUCAGUAU